UACGUAGGGUUCGAGCGUUAAUCGGAAUUACUGGGCGUAAAGAGCGCGCAGGCGGUCGUUCAAGUCGCGUGUGAAAGCCCCCGGCUCAACUGGGGAGGGUCACGCGAUACUGAUCGACUCGAAGGCAGGAGAGGGAAGUGGAAUUCCCGGUGUAGUGGUGAAAUGCGUAGAUAUCGGGAGGAACACCAGUGGCGAAGGCGACUUCCUGGCCUGUUCUUGACGCUGAGGCGCGAAAGCUAGGGGAGCAAACGGG
rnacentral:rRNA from 1 species